rnacentral:lncRNA from 1 species
CGGGAGAGAGUUGCAGGGAUUCCUGGAUUCCCUACACCAGUCAGAUCAUGGGGCAGCAGCAAGGUGCCAUCCAACCUUAGUAUUGGAGAGUGGGGGUGGGUAAUCAGUAGAGAAAGAGAGAGACAGAGAGAGGGCAUGCUUAGCUUAUUCCAGAUCCCUACUUCCCAGCUGGCCCCAGGUCCUGGCUGCUCCUCAGCCAGCUCCUGGGGCAGUUUUGUAGAAGAGAAUGUGGACUUGUGCUCAGCAACCACCAGGAUUCAGUCAUACAUAGCACUGGAUGGAGAUGGAGGCUUGAACAGUUUUGAAUAGUUUUCUCCGAGGGCUCAGCUGCCACCUCCUUUUCCUACAAGGUCAGCAUGACCCCCAGACGAGAACCUUCCUCAGCCCCCUGCCCUGUAGUUCCCAUAAAGAAUAAGUGAUUUCCUUUCUUUUUCCAGGGUGAAUGCUUUCCUCAUUCCUUGGCUCUUGGCUGUAUCACUGCAAUUCUGCUCUCAUUGUCAGGCUGCCUUCUCCUAUUUUCUCCUCUCUGUCUCCAUCAGUCCAAGCUGGCAGUAUUUCUGCUGGAAUAACAGCCUCAAGCACCCUGCUUUGGUGACCCAGCCUGGGCCUUCCUCCCCUCCUGUCAGACCCGCAGCUUGGACUCACUGCCCUCGACUGCCUACUUUGGAUAACAGGCCUUUACUUUGGCCUUGUGCUUCCCCCCUGGCCUGGCGGCCCCUCUUUUCAAAUGAGGCUGAGCCAUGUUCCCAAGGCUAGCACUAGGGACAAGGAGAAAUGGUGCUAGCACAGGCCUGCCCCAGAGCCCCUGGAGGCAGGGCCAAGAUUCUAGACCUGGGCCACACUGCCCAUAGGCAAGUCGGCUCUUUGCAGGCAAAGGCAGGAUCAGGAAACUGGACUAUUAGUCUUUACAACAGCUCUAUGGGGUGGGCAUUGCCAUCACUGGUUUAUGGAUGAGGAACCUGAGGCUCAGAGAGGAACAGAGGGUGACCUGAGGUCACAUAGCCAAUAACAGACAGAGCUUGGACUGAAAACCUGGUGUUGCUGCCUGCCCCUCAGCCUCCUUCACUGUAGAAGUAUAAAGAGCCUUGUUGAGAGACUACUGCCUCCAGCCCCAGGACCACCCUAAGACCUGGGCAAGAAGGACCUCAUGCCUUGUAGCACUCGCCUUGAAAUCUUCUAGGUUUCUAUCUGUAGCUGGAACUGACCAGGACUGGC